UGGAAUUAUCUACAAUUUAUCUACAAAGUUACAAGUAAUGACAAGAAUAUAAAAGAUCAAACAGAUAGGUUUUUUAUUCAUACUUAAGAAAUACAACUCUCGAAUUGUGUACAGGAGAACAUAAUACAAGAAUUUGAAACCUAAUUCUUCUAUUCCGCUUGCUUAAGCCCGGAAGCUGUUUGAUACCUUUUCAUCGCACACCUGGAAUCUUAUAUGUCGCUUGCUUAAGCCCGAAAGUCUUAAAGAGUCAUCACUUGUUCUUUUGCCUCUGGCAAACUACCCCAACAGUACCUUUUUCCGGACAACACAAACUCUUUCAGAAAAGGACGUUGCACGUCAUGACUGCCCUUAUACAAACAAGACUCCACGACUAGACGAAGACGCCCUAUGCGUAGGUAUGGACUCACAAGUACCAAGAUCACCAGAUGAAACACUGGCCGAAGAAGACUCGUACUCCUACGCACGCUUCUUCCCGGUGUUGAUUUAGCAGUCAUCUUUUUAAAUUCUUGUAAGUAAAAUGAACAAAAAAAAAAAAAAAUCGUCAUUAACAAAACCCAAUUGUAUUCAACAAAUUUUAAUAAUCCUUUAACAAAAUUAGGGUUGAUUUAGCACUAGAGUACGUGGGAAGACAACGAAAAAGAAGAGAUUUUUUUUAUUUUUCUGGUAUUUUUCUGCAAUUUCUUAAAUUUGUGUCCACAUCAGAUUUCUCUAUUUUAACAUUAUGCCACCUCAAGAACUUUGCGUGGUAUACGUGAGUUAAAUGGGAGGGUUCCAUGGACUCAAGAAAUAUUUGACUCAAUUUUGUGCUGAUUGGGCGAAGAAGGGCGGGGUGGGGAAACAGUGCACAGGGCCAGGGCCGGGGCAGAUGAAGCUAAGCCCGAUUAUUGGGCGGAGUGGGGCAGGGCUGGUUAUAGAAAGUCCAUCCCCAUCCUUACCUUGUACAGGUCGGAGGACAAAAAUGGGCUGGGCCAGAGUUGGGGAAAAGCCCAAUUCAAAGUUUUAAUUUUUUUUUAUAAGUCCAAGCCAAAGUUCACAUUCACAGCUCAGCCCAGACUUUAUUAAGUCCAAUUGCGUGCGUGCUACUGAUCUAUUGUCCAUGAAAAAAAAAAAGUAUGUGCUACUGCACUUGUAAUACAUAUCUAUCAAAAUAAUUCAUAUUCAAACAAACAUAACUAUAAAAAUUUAAUACGAAGCUAAUAUGAAUAAUAUCACUUCAUUAAAAAUUUAAUAUCAAUAUAAUUAUUCUUGGAUAAUACCACUUCAUAUAAAUAAGAAUAUGCAAUGAUAAAUUACAAAAAUGUGAUGAAAACAAAAAUUACAAAACUGGGAAUUAAAAUAAUCCAAUCAAAAUUUAAAAAUUCCAUUUGUAAUCCAAUAAUACAUUUUUCUUCCUUUUUGUUUGCAAUAAUAUACAUAUAUCAAGAGAUUAAGUCAAGUGAUUAUUAAUUUAGACAAAAAAUACUCACUCUUUAAAGAUUGUUGAUCGAAAGAUAACAGAUCAAGAGAUUGUUGAUCGGAGAUUUUUAAUUGGGAGAUUGAUAUUACAGAUCAAGAGAUCAUACAUCGAUAGAUUACAGAUCAAGAGAUUGCAGAAUCUAAAAUUAAUUGAAUAACAGAGUUUAAAAUCAAUAGAUUAUAAAGAAGAUGAUGUUUUGAAGAAGAUGAAGUGUUAU
rnacentral:lncRNA from 1 species